rnacentral:rRNA from 1 species
UGGGCGUAAAGGGCUCGCAGGCGGUUUCUUAAGUCUGAUGUGAAAGCCCCCGGCUCAACCGGGGAGGGUCAUUGGAAACUGGGAAACUUGAGUGCAGAAGAGGAGAGUGGAAUUCCACGUGUAGCGGUGAAAUGCGUAGAGAUGUGGAGGAACACCAGUGGCGAAGGCGACUCUCUGGUCUGUAACUGACGCUGAGGAGCGAAAGCGUGGGGAGCGAACAGGAUUAGAUACCCUGGUAGUCCACGCCGUAAACGAUGAGUGCUAAGUGUUAGGGGGUUUCCGCCCCUUAGUGCUGCAGCUAACGCAUUAAGCACUCCGCCUGGGGAGUACGGUCGCAAGACUGAAACUCAAAGGAAUUGACGGGGGCCCGCACAAGCGGUGGAGCAUGUGGUUUAAUUCGAAGCAACGCGAAGAACCUUACCAGGUCUUGACAUCCUCUGACAACCCUAGAGAUAGGGCUUUCCCUUCGGGGACAGAGUGACAGGUGGUGCAUGGUUGUCGUCAGCUCGUGUCGUGAGAUGUUGGGUUAAGUCCCGCAACGAGCGCAACCCUUGAUCUUAGUUGCCAGCAUUCAGUUGGGCACUCUAAGGUGACUGCCGGUGACAAACCGGAGGAAGGUGGGGAUGACGUCAAAUCAUCAUGCCCCUUAUGACCUGGGCUACACACGUGCUACAAUGGACAGAACAAAGGGCUGCGAGACCGCAGGGUUUAUCCAAUCCCACAAAUCUGUUCUCAGUUCGGAUCGCAGUCUGCAACUCGAC